rnacentral:rRNA from 1 species
CCUACGGGGGGCAGCAGUGAGGAAUAUUGGUCAAUGGACGAGAGUCUGAACCAGCCAAGUAGCGUGAAGGAUGACUGCCCUAUGGGUUGUAAACUUCUUUUAUAAAGGAAUAAAACGAGGCACGUGUGCCUUUUUGCAUGUACUUUAUGAAUAAGGAUCGGCUAACUCCGUGCCAGCAGCCGCGGUAAUACGGAGGAUCCGAGCGUUAUCCGGAUUUAUUGGGUUUAAAGGGAGCGUAGAUGGGUUGUUAAGUCAGUUGUGAAAGUUUGCGGCUCAACAGUAAAAUUGCAAUUGAUACUGGCAGUCGUGAGUACAGUUGAGGUAGGCGGAAUUCGUGGUGUAGCGGUGAAAUGCUUAGAUAUCACGAAGAACCCCGAUUGCGAAGGCAGCUUACUAAACUGUGACUGACAUUGAUGCUCGAAAGUGUGGGUAUCAAACAGGAUUAGAUACCCGAGUAGUC